rnacentral:rRNA from 1 species
UGGGCGUAAGGAUGCGUAGGCUGGAAAUCAAGUCGAGAGUGAAAUCCAACGGCUCAACCGUUGAACUGCUCUCGAAACUGGUUACCUAGAAUAUGGGAGAGGUAGAUGGAAUUGGUGGUGUAGGGGUAAAAUCCGUAGAUAUCACCAGGAAUACCGAUUGCGAAGGCGAUCUACUGGAACAUUAUUGACGCUGAGGCAUGAAAGCGCGGGGAGCAAACAGGAUUAGAUACCCUGGUAGUCCACGCCCUAAACGAUGCACACUAGUUGUUGCGAUGCUAGUCAUUGCAGUAAUGCACUUAACAGAUUAAGUGUGCCGCCUGGGGAGUACGGUCGCAAGAUUAAAACUCAAAGGAAUAGACGGGGACCCGCACAAGCGGUGGAGCAUGUGGUUUAAUUCGAAGAUACACGAAGAACCUUACCUGGGCUUGAUAUCCUAAGAAUCCUGUAGAGAUAUGGGAGUGCUAGUUUACUAGAACUUAGAGACAGGUGCUGCACGGCUGUCGUCAGCUCGUGUCGUGAGAUGUUGGGUUAAGUCCCGCAACGAGCGCAACCCUCGUGAUUAGUUGCUAACAGUUCGGCUGAGCACUCUAAUCAGACUGCCUUCGCAAGGAGGAGGAAGGUGAGGACGACGUCAAGUCAUCAUGGCCCUUAUGCCCAGGGCUACACACGUGCUACAAUGGCUAGGACAAAGAGAAGCGAUACUGCGAAGUGGAGCAAAUCUUAAAACCUAGUCUCAGUUCGGAUUGGAGUCUGCAACUCGACUCCAUGAAGCUGGAAUCGCUAGUAAUCGUAGAUCAGAUAUGCUACGGUGAAUACGUUCCC